CAGUAGCCGCGGUAAUACGUAGGGGGCGAGCGUUGUCCGAAGUUACUGGGCGUAAAGAGCGCGUAGGCUGGUCUUUAAGUGAGUGGUGAAAGGUUCGGGCUCAACCCGGACACUGCCUUUCGUACUGGGGACCUUGAGUGUGGGAGAGGCGAGUGGAAUGGUCGGUGUAGCGGUGAAAUGCGUAGAUAUCGAUCGGAACACCCAUGGCGAAGGCAGCUCGCUGGCCUAACACUGACGCUGAGGCGCGAAAGCGGGGGGAGCAAACAGGAUUAGAUACCCCUGUAGUCCCUGUCUCUUAUAU
rnacentral:rRNA from 1 species